CUGGCUCAGGACGAACGCUGGCGGCGUGCCUAAUACAUGCAAGUCGAGCGGAAAUUUUAUUGGUGCUUGCACCUUUAAAAUUUUAGCGGCGGACGGGUGAGUAACACGUGGGUAACCUACCUUAUAGAUUGGGAUAACUCCGGGAAACCGGGGCUAAUACCGAAUAAUACUUUUUAACACAUGUUUGAAAGUUGAAAGACGGUUUCGGCUGUCACUAUAAGAUGGACCCGCGGCGCAUUAGCUAGUUGGUGAGGUAACGGCUCACCAAGGCAACGAUGCGUAGCCGACCUGAGAGGGUGAUCGGCCACACUGGGACUGAGACACGGCCCAGACUCCUACGGGAGGCAGCAGUAGGGAAUCUUCCACAAUGGACGAAAGUCUGAUGGAGCAACGCCGCGUGAGUGAAGAAGGAUUUCGGUUCGUAAAACUCUGUUGCAAGGGAAGAACAAGUAGCGUAGUAACUGGCGCUACCUGACGGUAC
rnacentral:rRNA from 1 species